CGCUUUGGUCCACCAUGGGUGCCACGACGUAGCGCGGGGAUCCCAGGGAGGAGCGGUAGAAGUCGUAGCCGCUGCUUUUCGCUUUCGUUUUUGGGGCUUGGCCCAGUCAGAGAAGCGUGAAAAUUGCGCUCUAAGUCAAUGCACAGCAACAAAAGCAACAAUUACGAGAAAAACCAACCAGCAACAACUGCAAACUAAUUGAGUUAUUCAAGUUGCGCAUGCAACUCGCAGCUUUAAGUUUAAACCCUUCUUUCCAGCAACUUAUUGAAGUUUCAACUUGGGGACCGCGUUGCACAGACGGAUGCGCCACAGUUAAAUGGCUUAUGGUUAGUGCAUUGCGAUAUUGCCUGAUUGGGCUUUGGGUGCUCCCUACGAAAGUUUACUGCCCGGAAAUGGCAUGAAAUUUUAUCAACGUCCAAGGCGGUUUGUCGGAACUUUCAGGACUUUUCCUGUCGCCGAACAUUUUUUGGCUGAUAAUGCACGGCCAAUGCCUGUGCGUAAUUAAAGUUGAAAUAGUCGGGAAACUUUUCCCCCACGAAGGUAACUUGCAUAAGAACUGAAUCGAAUUUAAAUGCAGGCCCGCAAACGCGAAGCGGCUGCUGUUGCGCCGCCAGCUGUUUCCUUUUCAUAAUUAUGGCCAAAUUAAAACCAAGUUCCCAAAUGAAACGUCCAUGGAGGAUUACGAGGAGCAGGAGCCCAUGCUCUGGGCAUUCAGCAAUUAAGAAGUUUUGUGCAAGUCGAGAGACGAGGACGAAACCUACUGCAAUAUGAACAAGAGUGUUGAUGUCGGAAGAUUGUACAAUGGGUAAUUUACAAGUUGCAAUGGAAAACUACAUGCCCCUUCCUGGUGGACAAUGCAUUUAUCGUCCAAAGUUAAGGGAACUCCAAAACUACCAAAGUCUUUUGCCCACAUUAUUGAGAAAACUCAUGAUCCAAUCCCAAUUAGCUGCCCCUAAGUGCACUCCCAGCUGAGUAAAUUGCAUCAUUUUCCAGCCAACAAUACUUAUGGCCAGCCACAGAUGGCCAAGAUCCGCUGCGCCAAAUGUGCAAUUGGAAGGACCGCAGACAGUUGUUUUGCAUCUGGGAGAGAGAGUAAUUGAAUCGGCGGUCGAGACUGGCAAAGGCUUUUCAAAGGUAUAGAUGAUAAUUCAUAAUUUCCGUACCAAUUAGGGCAAUUUCUGCUUUCCCAGGAAAUACCAGAACCAUUGGGGAGGCACACGAGGAUAGAAGUCCUUCAAUCAAAGUGUAGCCGUGGAAAUUGCUAAGUCUGCGGCACCUCCUAGCAUAGUUUUUUGGAAAAGUUACAUUUAGACUACAAAUUACACUAGAUUUCCAAAAUUUAUAGGAGCCCCCAAACUAACCAAACUUUG